AUUGAACGCUGGCGGCAGGCCUAACACAUGCAAGUCGAGCGGCGCGGCGGACGGGUGAGUAAUGCCUAGGAAUCUACCUGGUAGUGGGGGAUCACGUCCGGAAACGGGCGCUAAUAACACAUACUUGCAAGUGAGCCUCGGUGGGAUUAGCUGGUUGGUGGGGUAACGGCCUACCAAGGCGACGAUCCGUAACCGGACUGAGAGGAUGAUCAGUCACACUGGAACUGAGACACGGCCCAGACUCCUACGGGAGGCAGCAGUGGGGAAUAUUCGACAAUGGGCGAAAGCCUGACCCAGCCAUGCCGCGUGUGUGAAGAAGGUCUUCGGAUUGUAAAGCACUGUAAGUAGGGAGGCGGUACCUACAGAAUAAGCACCGGCUAACUUCGUGCCAGCAGCCGCGGUAAUAC
rnacentral:rRNA from 1 species